UUGUUAUUAUGUCUCAAAGUUGAAAUUUGGGUUGCACUUCUACCUAUGAUGGACCAAUUCUUUGGCACUAUUGUGCUUCUAAGUUGAAAAACUAUUUUGAGAACCUGCAAUUCCCAAUGUGCAUGUCAUAUAUGUACUAUAGGCUAAUAUUUAUGUCAUGAAAAAUGGAAGUGGUCUAGGCAAAUAGGAUUUUAUCCCACUGAUUAUCUUCUGUUCCAUAAAAACAUCGCUGGUUUUCCUAAAUAAUGCAAAAUAGAUUGAUUUUUGUUAAGCAGCUGUAACCCUUAGGACAGGAUGGAUAUAUUUUCUCACUGCAUAUCUUAUCUAGGAUGGAAAUUAAAGGCUGCUUGGGUGAAGUUCAAACUGUAUAUUGAUAUGCUUGUGUUGUCUUUGAUUUAUCGCCAUUCUUCUAUUUCCACCCAUUGUACUGCUUCAAUUCGAAGAUACAUUGAUCCAUUUUUACCUUAAAAAUGGGCACUAUCUUGGGAUGCACUCAGGAAAAGUAGACCGAAGGAUAUAGUUGUAGGAUUGUCAUGGGCUUUCAGUACUUCUGCCGUGUUAAUUUCAACAAAGAAGACCUAAUUGUGUUCAGUUGACCCACUCCCAUUUUGGGAUGUGUGUGCAUCAAUAUUGAAAGAGUGGACCAAAUUUGGUCAACUAUCUUAGAAUGCACCCAGUUCAGAAACUCCAGCAUUCCAUGCUUUACUCGGUACUAGAUGCCAGCUGUACAGUGAUGUCUGUUUGAUCAAGCAAUAUGUUCCCUUAGGAGUCGCAUGACUUUAUUAACUGAACAAUAAGCCACCUACAUCGCCUGAACUGAACUGACAAGAUAGACUUUUGAUGAAAUUGAACAUUGCAUAAGAGUUUUUCAAUGUUGUCAUCUCCAGCUCCACUUUACAUAUCUUCAUCUCAUCUUCGUAUCAUGAGAGUAAGAGGUCAUAAUAUUAUGCAUAAAUACUUCAAUAGAAUUUGUGAGUUACUCAUGAUUCAUCACUUUAUUCUUCUGAUUUUUUUCCCGUUUUGCGACCUUUGAUUGACUUUUGUGUUACUAGAUAUGACAAUUGCGCAGAUUCAGAGCUUGCCUACUAGGACAUGCUGAUACAACUAUAUUCUCAAGAGUAUGGUACAAGCCAAGGUGGGUCAUUUUGAGCAAACAUGUUCAGUCUGCCUUGACAAAUGGCCAUCGCAUCGUUUGCGGCACUUCUUGAUGGGAUCAGAGUGGCGACAGCAAAAAGAUUAAUAGUGGAUCCGUUGUCGGAGGAUGGAAAUAUCAUGUGUGUGCUCAACGACUUGGAAGGGAAGCUUGGGUACUGAUGAGCUGAGUUGAGAUGCGGAAGCAGCCUAGGUACUCAUGAGCUGAGCUGAGCUGAGAUGCGGAAAGACAAUCUUAGAACUAGGGCCAAGAGGUGUAUAUAAAGGGAACCAACAGAUAGAUUUGUAGCAUUUUUGGCCUCCUCUUUUCAUGCCCAAAAAUGUUCACAUGCGAUAUUAACAUGUGAUGCCAUUUCCAAUAGAAAAGUUUCAUUGCAAUUAGGUUGAUUUUAACAUGUAACACAACAUACAGGCUUAUAAAUGUUGCAUGGUACUUGUUUAUGUU